CUUAAGCCCCAGUAAACGGCGGCCGUAACUAUAACGGUCCUAAGGUAGCGAAAUUCCUUGUCGGGUAAGUUCCGACCCGCACGAAAGGCGUAACGAUUUGGGCACUGUCUCAACAACAGACUCGGUGAAAUUGUAAUUCCGGUGAAGAUGCCGGAUACCUGCGACAGGACGGAAAGACCCCAUGGAGCUUUACUGUAGCUUGACAUUGGGUCUUGGUACUACAUGUACAGGAUAGGUGGGAGGCUUUGAAACCAGGACGCCAGUUUUGGCGGAGCCAUCCUUGGGAUACCACCCUUGUAGUACUGGGACUCUAACCAUAGGCCAUGAAUCUGGUCUUGGGACACUGUCAGGUGGGCAGUUUGACUGGGGCGGUCGCCUCCCAAAAGGUAACGGAGGCGCUCAAAGGUUCUCUCAGUACGGUCGGAAAUCGUACGUAGAGUGUAAAGGCAAAAGAGAGCUUGAUUGCAAGACAUACAGGUCGAGCAAGGAUGAAAAUCGGACUUAGUGAUCCGGUGGUUCUGCGUGGAAGGGCCAUCGCUCAACGGAUAAAAGCUACCCUGGGGAUAACAGGCUUAUCUCCCCCAAGAGUCCACAUCGACGGGGAGGUUUGGCACCUCGAUGUCGGCUCAUCACAUCCUGGGGCUGUAGUAGGUCCCAAGGGUUGGGCUGUUCGCCCAUUAAAGUGGUACGCGAGCUGGGUUCAGAACGUCGUGAGACAGUUCGGUCCCUAUCCGUCGCAGGCGUAGGAAAUUUGAGAAGACCUGUCCUUAGUACGAGAGGACCGGGAUGGACGUACCUCUGGUGUACCAGUUGUCCUGCCAAGGGCAUGGCUGGGUAGCUAUGUACGGAAUGGAUAAGCGCUGAAAGCAUCUAAGCGCGAAGCCAACUUCAAGAUAAGAUUUCCCACCGCAAGGGUAAGACCCCAGAAAGACUAUCUGGUUGAUAGGUCGAAGGUGUAAGUGCAGCAAUGUAUUUAGCUUAUCGAUACUAAUAG
rnacentral:rRNA from 1 species